UACAGAGGUCCCAAGCGUUGUUCGGAAUUACUGGGCGUAAAGGGCGCGUAGGCGGCCCGCUAAGUCGAACGUGAAAUCCCCGAGCUCAACCUGGGAACUGCGUCUGAUACUGGAUGGCUUGAAUCCGGGAGAGGGAUGCAGAAUUCCAGGUGUAGCGGUGAAAUGCGUAGAUAUCUGGAGGAAUACCGGUGGCGAAGGCGGCAUCCUGGACCGGCAUUGACGCUGAGGAGCGAAAGCCAGGGGAGCAAACGGG
rnacentral:rRNA from 1 species